rnacentral:rRNA from 1 species
UGGGGAAUAUUGGACAAUGGGCGCAAGCCUGAUCCAGCCAUGCCGCGUGAGUGAUGAAGGCCCUAGGGUUGUAAAGCUCUUUCACCGGUGAAGAUAAUGACGGUAACCGGAGAAGAAGCCCCGGCUAACUUCGUGCCAGCAGCCGCGGUAAUACGAAGGGGGCUAGCGUUGUUCGGAUUUACUGGGCGUAAAGCGCACGUAGGCGGACUAUUAAGUCAGGGGUGAAAUCCCGGGGCUCAACCCCGGAACUGCCUUUGAUACUGGUAGUCUUGAGUUCGAGAGAGGUGAGUGGAAUUCCGAGUGUAGAGGUGAAAUUCGUAGAUAUUCGGAGGAACACCAGUGCGAAGGCGGCUCACUGGCUCGAUACUGACGCUGAGGUGCGAAAGCGUGGGGAGCAAACAGG